rnacentral:rRNA from 1 species
UACGAGGGGGGCAAAUGUUGUUCGGAAUCACUGGGCGUAAAGGGAGCGUAGGCGGGUUCUUAAGUAAGGUGUUUAAUCCCGGGGCCCAACCCCGGACCGGCACUUUAAACUGGGAAUCUUGAAUAGUGGAGAGGUCAGUGGAAUUGGGGGUGUAGCGGUGGAAUGCGUAGAGAUCCCCAAGAACACCAGUUGCGAAGGCGACUCACUGGACACGUAUUGACGCUGAGGUGCGAAAGCGUGGGGAGCAAACAGG